rnacentral:rRNA from 1 species
GUCUACGACCAUACCACCAGGAGCCACCGGUUCUCGUCUGAUCACCGAAGUUAAGCCUGGUCGGGCGAAGUUAGUACUUGGAUGGGUGACCGCCUGGGAAUACUUCGUGUUGUAGACU